rnacentral:misc_RNA from 1 species
GCAGACCUCUCUUCUUCCUCCUUAAUAGUGUUGAUCAUGAGAGCAAUUUGAUUCAUUGUAGGCCUAGCAUCUGGAGUGUUGUUAACACAUUUUAUAGCUAUCUGAAGCAAGUUCACCAUUCUCUCUUCACUUGCACCUUCUAAUAUAAGGGCCUUGUCGAAAACCUCUACCGUCCAUUCCUCUCGAACGACUGAAUGAACCCAUUUAGUUAAGUCUAUUCCAUUAUUCUGCACUAGCUUUCCUGUUAGUAGUUCAAGCAGAAUCACCCCGAAACCAUAGACGUCUAACUUGAAGGCAUUAGGAGAACUAGCCUCAGUUUUUUGCAUGCUUUUGAAACCAUUGACAUUGACAAGUGAAGAACAGUCUUGAUCAUCAAAAACCAUAAGUCCAUACUCG